AAAUAAUAAGAAUUUUAAAUGGUAAUGAUGGCGGGCCCACUAGGAUAUUCUUUUGCUAAAAUUCAUUGAUUUUAGUCUAGUUCACGUGGCUGAGGUUGUUGAUUGGUAAUGUGUUGUUUUAGGUUCAGAUGAAUGAAGCAAGAGAUGGAUGAUAAGAUAAAGAGUAAAGCAUGGGUGGCGGGACCCAGAUGACUUUUGUGUUCAAAAUGAGAUAUUUUGUUUUGGUCUGACAUCUGAAUGGAGUUGUAUGGUGAGUUGUUAUGUGUUUGUGUCGGUACAAUUACCUAUUUAAUGAGUGCAUGUACACUGGUUGUGAAUGAUUCAGAGAAGAGAUUAUAGAGAGAGAAUUUGAGGAAACACACAUACACAAACACAGUGAGCCGAAACUGAGAGAGAGAAAAUUAGAGGAAGCACACACACAGAGCCGAGAGGGCUUGAGAAUAUGAUGCAAGCUUGAUGAUUCAGUGAUAUAAAUUAUUUUUUCAGUGUAGGGUUCUUCAUAUCUUCAAUGGCCGGAUGAUUUUAUUUCAAAUAUUUUAUUGCUUGUUAUUUUACUAAAAUUGCAUAUAUGUAUUUUGUUUAAAAAUAUUUAUAUAUUUUUGUAAAGCAAAUUUAUCAUAAAACUCUUUGAAAUCCUUGCUAUGAUUUUUUCUACUGGGACUUUCCCCAUCUCACCCCCUUCCAGUUUCAGGUACUGAUGAAGAACUUGGAUUGCUAGUAGCGGGCUUAGGUAGAAGAGUUGGCGUUGAGGAUUAUUUUAUUUAUUUAGAGAAUUUUAUAUAAUUAAUUUAGGAAAUUAAUUUGUAUCAAUAAAGGAUAAAAUGAUAUUUCUUUUUGAAAUCCUGGGUGUAAUACUGACGUAUUUUGAUCUGAAUAAAUCGAGAAAUUUAUUGAAAAAAUUCGGAGCGUUACAAAAUGGUAACAGAGUCUGUACCCAGCAGGAAGUGUGAGUUUGGUGAUGUUGUUAAUGGGUGUAAGUAAGCGAGUGUUUAGUUCUGAUUAGCUACCGCUUGUAGCCUGAUGUGUGUGGGCGGGUGUCGUUCACUGACAGCUACUGGGGUGGUCAAUAAUUGUGAUUUGGCAUGUAGUAUUGCUUGAUUUUAUUAUUGACCUUGUUUUUGUGGGCGGAUGAUGGCAUUGAUUAGCUAUCACAACGGUUACGGAAUGUGUGGGCGGGUAACUAGCAUUGUCAGCUACCACAACGUUUUUUAUGUCACGGUAUCUCGCAUCGCCUGGGGUAAGGAUUUUUGGAUUUUGUUUUACCACUUUUGAUGUUUUCAGGUGUGCGAAAAUUUUUAGAUCUGAAUUUCGGGAUGAAAUUCUUUUUAAGUGGUGGAGAAUGUGACAAUCCGAAUUUUUAAGAAUUGAAAUUGUAUUUAUUUCAUUAUUAUUAUUAUUAUUAUUAUUAUUUUUGUGUCAUAAUUAAAUAUUUAAUUAUUAUUGGUAACUUAUCAAUUGGAGAAUGAUUAUAUAAUUGGAGAUUGAUUAUUUUAUUUAAAUUUGAGAUUUACCCAAUUAAGAUUUAAUGGGUUGAAAUUGAAUUUUUUUAUAUGCUUUAUAUAUAAAGCGUAUCUAAUUGAAAAAUAAAGGAGAGCAUAUUUGGUUUUUUGCUUACAUCUAUAUCUCUGAUAUAUAUGGUGUAUCAAUUUGAGGUGGCAAUGAGCUUCAGCUGAAAUGGGUUGAUUUAAUUUGUUACAUUAUAUAUAUAUAUAUAUAUAUAUAUAUAUAUAUAUAUAUUGUAUCUGUAGGAGGCAACAAGGUGCUGCCGAAUUGGAGAGGAAACAAUGAAAAGUUGGUUUUUGGCGGGACCCACAAGAUGAUAAUAUUAAUGGACUUAAUUUUUUUUUUGGUUUUUGUUUUAUGCUAUAUAUAUAUAUAUAUAUAUAUAUGCAUAUAUAUAUAUAAAUGGUGUAGUAAUUUCCUAAGGGGUUGCAUCUGCCGAAGUGGGCAAGAGAAGGAAAAAAAAUAAUAAUAAGAAUUUUAAAUGGUAAUGAUGGCGGGCCCACUAGGAUAUUCUUUUGCUAAAAUUCAUUGAUUUUAGUCUAGUUCACGUGGCUGAGGUUGUUGAUUGGUAAUGUGUUGUUUUAGUUUCAGAUGAAUGAAGCAAAAGAUGGAUGAUAAGAUAAAGAGUAAAGCAUGGGUGGCGGGACUCAGAUGACUUUUGUGUUCAAAAUGAGAUAUUUUGUUUUGGUCUGACAUCUGAAUGGAGUUGUAUGUUUCAGGUACUGAGGAAGAACUUGGAUUGCUAGUAGCGGGCUUAAGUAGAAGAGUUGGCGUUGAAGAUUAUUUUAUUUAUUUAGAGAAUUUUGUAUAAUUAAUUGAGGAAAUUGAUUUGUAUCAAUAAAGGAUAAAAUGAUAUUUCUUUUUGAGAUCCUA